rnacentral:rRNA from 1 species
AUUGAACGCUGGCGGCAUGCCUUACACAUGAAAGUCGAACGGCAGCACGGGAGCAAUCCUGGUGGCGAGUGGCGAACGGGUGAGCAAAGUAUCGGAACGUGCCCAGUCGUGGGGGAUAACGUAUCGAAAGCUACGCUAAUACCGCAUACGCACUAUGGAUGAAAGCGGGGGAUCGCAAGACCUCGCGCGACUGGAGCGGCCGAUAGCAGAUUAGGUAGUUAGUGGGGUAAAGGCUCACCAAGCCGACGAUCUGGAGGUGGUCUGAGAGGACUACCAGCCACACUGGGACUGAGACACGGCCCAGACACCUACGGGAGGCAGCAGGGGGGAAUUUUGGACAAUGGGCGCAAGCCUGAUCCAGCCAUGCCGCUUGCAGGAUGAAGGCCUUCGGGUUGUAAACUGCUUUUGUACGGAACGAAAAGGUUUGACUUAAUACGUUGGACUCAUGACGGUACCGUAAGAAUAAGCACCGGCUAACUACGUGCCAGCAGCCGCUGUAA